UUUUUCCGCCUAAUUACGGUUGACAUCGAUGAUUUUAAUGAUUUGAUUAUUAAAUUCACAACGUCGUCAUCGUCUAUCCAACAAGAAGAAGACCAAAUCUCAUAUUUCUCUCUCUAAUCACAGAACUCAUAUAAAAAUGGAGAAAAUUGGGAAAAGAUUUGAAGGGAAAGUGGUGAUUGUAACAGCUUCUACACAAGGUAUUGGAUUUUGGCAUAGCUCAGAGACUUGGAUUUGAAGGUGCUUCUGUUGUUAUCUCCUCUCGCAAACAGGAAAAUGUAGAUGAAGCAGUAAAGAAACUGAGAGAUGGAGGAAUUGAAGUAUGUCAUGUCUCAAAUGCACAACAGAGGAAGAAUUUGAUAGACAAGACCAUUCAGAAAUAUGGGAAACUAGACGUGGUUGUGUCAAAUGCCGCUGUCAAUCCUUCAGUAGAUGCAAUAUUAGAAACUAAAGCAUCAGUCCUUGACAAGCUGUGGGAUAUCAAUGUCAAGGCCGCUAUACUAUUACUACAAGAUGCAGCUCCUUACCUUAAGAAGGGUUCAUCAGUUGUUCUGAUUUCCUCAAUUUCUGGUUACUCACCACCAGCUUCAAUGGGUAUGUAUGGAGUAACUAAAACUGCGCUACUCGGACUUACCAAGGCUCUUGCAGCUGAAAUGAGUCCAGAUACUCGUGUAAACUGUGUAGCACCGGGUUUUGUACCUACACAUUUUGCUGAUUUCAUCACGAGUAAUGAACAAGUGAGGAGAGAGAUUGAGGGUAAGACAUUACUCAAUAGGCUCGGAACAACACAAGAUAUGGCCGCUGCUGUUGCUUAUUUGGCUUCUGAUGAUGCUUCUUAUGUAACCGGAGAAACUCUGGUUGUUGCUGGAGGAAUGCCUUCCAGACUUUAACUUCUCGAUUGCAGUGUCUCUCCUUCUGGUUUUAGUAAGCUUGCAUCAGCCUAGGACGGACAUGCUUUUGAUGUUAUGCAAGUCCUGUGACCGAUACCAAGGGGAAGCAUGAAUCAGACCAAUAAGACACUGCUCUCUGCCUGUCGUUACAACAGCAGAAGCCCACACCGGAGUUUCAUUACCUUAUUCCUUACUUUUGUACAACUUCUUUCUUUUAGCUCUAUUCACCUUGAGAGCAAAUAGCUACAAGAUGUUCAACUUUUAUCUCAACUGAUAGAUAAUAAUCAACAGAAGUUUGGAAA